AAGCUCAGGUUAAUAAUUAUAUACAUGUCAUAAUUUCUCUUUAUGACCUCAUUCUUAACCUGCAUUCUAAAUUUUUCUCUAGAUCAUUCCUAAAGAAAAAUCAAGAUGUUUCUACAUGUGAACCAUUUAUUUAAUCUGUGUUUUCAUUAUAUUGUUGUUUCCCCAAGGUGAUAUCCUACUCUCAGGCCAAUCAAGAAUGAGGCUAGCCUAGCUGUACCAGGAGUAAAUCGUUUUUCUUAAUCAAAUUCUUGUUGGGUUAUUGGCUAAACUAACUCUUACAGCUGAAAGGAAAAUCAUUUCAAGCACAUGUACUGCAGAACCUCAUCUCUGAGACAGCUGGGCAGGAAAAGUCAAAGUAGGGAGCUUGAGAAAGAAACAAUCCAACUCAUACGCCUCUGAGGAGGAUGGAAGAAGAGGAAGAGUGGUUUUUGAACUACCCCAUUCAUCUUACCUUCUCAAGAGUCAGGUAAGCACAAGAGGAUCCCAAGUAUUAUUGUGUAAUAGCUUCUCUUUUUAUCACUAACUUUCAC
rnacentral:lncRNA from 9 species